GACGAACCGUGCGAACGUUGUUCGGAAUCACUGGGCUUAAAGGGCGCGUAGGCGGGCCGCCGCGUCCGGGGUGAAAUCCUCCCGCUCAACGGGAGAACGGCCUCGGAUACGGGCGGCCUGGAGGGGGGUAGGGGCACGCGGAACUGUGGGUGGAGCGGUGAAAUGCGUUGAGAUCCACAGGAACUCCGGUGGCGAAGGCGGCGUGCUGGACCCCACCUGACGCUGAGGCGCGAAAGCCAGGGGAGCAAACGGG
rnacentral:rRNA from 1 species